AGAUCAAUGAUGACUUCCAAAUAUAUACUCCUUGGAAACCUGGACAAAAUGAGUGAACAUUCAUCAAACUGAGGUCC
rnacentral:snoRNA from 1 species